CUUAUACUGAGUCUUCUGUACUGAAUAAGUCAAAACUUUCAACAACGGAUCUCUUGGUUCUGGCAUCGAUGAAGAACGCAGCGAAAUGCGAUAAGUAAUGUGAAUUGCAGAAUUCAGUGAAUCAUCGAAUCUUUGAACGCACAUUGCGCCCGCCAGUAUUCUGGCGGGCAUGCCUGUUCGAGCGUCAUUUCAACCAUCAAGCCCCCGGGCUUGUGUUGGGGACCUGCGGCUGCCGCAGGCCCUGAAAAGCAGUGGCGGGCUCGCUGUCACACCGAGCGUAGUAGCAUACAUCUCGCUCUGGGCGUGCUGCGGGUUCCGGCCGUUAAACCACCUUUAACCCAAGGUGACCUCGGAUCAGGUAGGAAGACCCGCGACUAGC
rnacentral:rRNA from 1 species